AGCGCUCACGCCCCGUCCCUGAGGCUGCGCGGUUACGGCCCGCAGGGUUGUUAGAGACUGCUCUGGGUCUCUGCCUGCGAUCUGCUCCUCCGGCUACUGCCCGGAAAGAAGUUGUUCUAGCUCGGUUUCUUCUGCAGCUGUAGGAUUCAGGGUUAAGAUUCCACUAUGUGGCUGCUGGAGAAAGGGGUAAACCACUCAUGCUGCUGCUUCAUGGCUUUCCAGAAUUCUGGUAUUCUUGGCGCCAUCAAUUGCGGGAAUUUAAAAGUGAAUAUCGAGUUGUGGCCCUGGAUUUGAGAGGUUAUGGAGAAACAGAUGCUCCUUCUCACAAAGAAAAUUACAAAUUAGAUUUCCUGAUAACAGAUAUAAAGGAUAUUUUGGAAUCUCUA